CCUGUUCUUCCAGUAGUUCCACUAGAGGCUGGCUCCAUAAAGGAGGUGACGGCCUCCAUAGUGAACCUUCACAGCAGCAGUAACAGUGCCCUCUCAGCUCCGCCCCUCUGCCCAUAUUUGGACACGCCGGGUUUUGUUGGGGUCCAGGUGACAUCACAGAGGGUUCGUCCGUCUGUGUCUCUGUCAGUGGUAGAGCUGCAGGCGGCGUGACGUCUGUGAGGUCAGAGACGCUGACUCAGACAGACAGCGCCCACACUUCCUCUAUCUGCCAGUGGUUUCGGAUGUGAGGUCACUUCCUGUCAGACAUGAAACCCACUGACACAAUCCUGAAUCACUAACCGGAGCCUGCUCUCAGUGAGUCAGUGGCUGCCGGUGGCUCCUGUGUCCCAGGACAGAGGUCAAUCAGUCUCUGAGUGUGGGUCAUGUGACUCCAUCAUGGCGUCCUGCUGGGUUUGUUUAAUGAAAUAUUUUACUGUUCGAUUUGUACACACGGUGCCUUCAGGGACCAUCAUUCCUUCUGAUUCUAAUGAAGAAGCUGCUUCUGUGUUCUACUGAUGAUCUUUCAGCAGUUUCGAAGCUUCAAAGGGUUAAUUAAGUGACCUGAUAGUUUUGUUUAUUCAUUCAGUCCCAGAAUGCACUGCAGUGUCCUCCGUCUCCUGACCUGCAGUGCAGGCUGACCUUCUGUUGGCUGUAAACAGCAGAGAGCUGUAAUAAGGAUUAGUCUGAGGCUCGGACUGUUCUAAAUGUUCUCUGCUGUGGGUCAAAGGUGAAGCGCUCAGGUUCGACUUCCUGUGCGCUGAACAAACUGAUGAAGCUCUCUGUCUUAUCGUCAUGGUAACCGGAAGCAGCAGCUGGACGGCAGCUCCACUGCAGAACAGCAUGGAGGAAGCUGAACAGAGGCUGGAUCAUCAUCGCUUUAUGUGUAAAGGCUGGGAAGGUUGUGACGUCACAGAUCAGAGACACCCGCCAGGCCCAGUGCAACCAGUCGGACCAGUCUGUCAGUCGGACCCUCGCUCUUACCUCCUGAACGGUUUCCCCAUGCUGCCGUCUUCCCCCGGGCCCUGCCGGCCGCCGGAUGCGGGCCCCAGUGCUCCCCUGCCGGGACGCUGCUUCAGCUCCGGGUCGCUGUCGAGCAGAGUGCCGGUGGUCCCGCUGUCAUGCUCCGCAGUCAGAGAGUUCCGCCUUCGCAUCCCUGGAACCGUCAAGCACAGGUAUCAGCGGAGGAACGGCGGUCAGCGCGGCCUGUCGGCGGGGAGGAAGCCGUCUGUCUGGCGCGAGACGGAGAGCUGUGCGCCGGUGAGGACGGAGCGGAGUCCCCGAUGUGCCUGCGCUCAGAUCCGCAGAGAGCAGCUGGUCCAAACAGAGCUGCCGCAGCAGCCAAUCACAGGCCGGACGCACUACCACGUGGCCGCGCCGUGUUGCGUCCAAGGCCCCUGGGAAGCGUCGGAGCAACCACAACCAAAACAAAACCGGUUUGUGGGACUAAAAGGAGAACGUGCUGCCUUCAGGUGCAUCCCGGGACAUGAGCAGGUCAGCCUGCGGCAUGUGCCGUCACAGUGA
ensembl:lncRNA